GAUAAACGCUGGCGGCGUGCUUAACACAUGCAAGUCGAACGAAGUUUUUCCUUCGGGAGAAACUUAGUGGCGGACGGGUGAGUAACGCGUGGGUAACCUGCCCUGUACAGGGGGACAACAGCUGGAAACGGCUGCUAAUACCGCAUAAGCACUUAGCACUGCAUGGUGCAUAGGGAAAAGGAGCAAUCCGGUACAGGAUGGACCCGCGUCUGAUUAGCCAGUUGGCAGGGUAACGGCCUACCAAAGCGACGAUCAGUAGCCGAUCUGAGAGGAUGUACGGCCACAUUGGGACUGAGACACGGCCCAGACUCCUACGGGAGGCAGCAGUGGGGAAUAUUGCACAAUGGAGGAAACUCUGAUGCAGCGACGCCGCGUGAGUGAAGAAGUAUUUCGGUAUGUAAAGCUCUAUCAGCAGGGAAGAAAAUGACGGUACCUGACUAAGAAGCACCGGCUAAAUACGUA
rnacentral:rRNA from 1 species